rnacentral:rRNA from 1 species
AGUCGAACGGAGCACCCUUGACGGAGUUUUCGGACAACGGAUAGGAAUGCUUAGUGGCGGACUGGUGAGUAACGCGUGAGGAACCUGCCUUUCAGAGGGGGACAACAGUUGGAAACGACUGCUAAUACCGCAUGACAUGCAACCGGGGCAUCCCGGAUGCAUCAAAGAUUUUAUCGCUGAAAGAUGGCCUCGCGUCUGAUUAGCUAGUUGGUGGGGUAACGGCCCACCAAGGCGACGAUCAGUAGCCGGACUGAGAGGUUGACCGGCCACAUUGGGACUGAGAUACGGCCCAGACUCCUACGGGAGGCAGCAGUGGGGAAUAUUGGGCAAUGGACGCAAGUCUGACCCAGCAACGCCGCGUGAAGGAAGAAGGCUUUCGGGUUGUAAACUUCUUUUGUCAGGGAAGAGUAGAAGACGGUACCUGACGAAUAAGCCACGGCUAACUACGUGCCAGCAGCCGCGGUAAUACGUAGGUGGCAAGCGUUGUCCGGAUUUACUGGGUGUAAAGGGCGUGUAGCCGGGAAGACAAGUCAGAUGUGAAAUCUGGAGGCUCAACCUCCAAACUGCAUUUGAAACUGUUUUUCUUGAGUAUCGGAGAGGUAACCGGAAUUCCUAGUGUAGCGGUGAAAUGCGUAGAUAUUAGGAAGAACACCAGUGGCGAAGGCGGGUUACUGGACGACAACUGACGGUGAGGCGCGAAAGCGUGGGGAGCAAACAGG